UUGCACUCACACUCACACAUUCAUCAACAUAUAGACCUGAAAAUCUUCUGAAACAAAAAUCCAGCUUCCAGCUUUUCUUUUUUCCUUCUCUUUACAAAAAUUUGGAAGGAAUUUUCUUUGAGUUUUUGGGUUCUUGAACUAAGAUAUAAGCUGAUACUGAAGCUCUGAAGGUCGCAUGUGUGAAGCCAUGUUGUUUAUGAAUCUGACCUUUAACAUGGUCAGAACCAUGGAUUUCAAAGCUGAAACAGAAGUCCGAUUAUCAAUAGACAUGGAAAAGCCGACAUAUUUCUGGAAGAUCACCACUGGAAAUUUCAAUUGUAGUCAUUAGAGUAGCUAUUUUGAUAAUGUGAAUCAAGUUUGUUUGUUACUCCACAGCUGAGUAUUAUUCAGGAAUGUUUAACCAUGGGCCUGUAAUUGAUUGAUUCAUAGCCUAUUGUUACAGCAAACUUGGUAGAUUCAGCUGUAUAAAGUAAUUUAUCAAAAGUAUGAUUUGAAACUUGUUUAUUAUUCAACAAGACAAUUGUUUCCUGUA